AAAAAAAAACAAACCCUCUUAACUGGUUGUGGUGGCACAUUCCUGUAAUCCCAGCUACUUGAGGGGGUUGAGGUGCAAGGAUUGCUUGAGCCUGGGAUAUUGAGGCUACAGUGAGCUGUGAUUGUGCCACUGUGCUCCAGCGUGGGUGACAAAGUGAGACCCUGUCUCAAAAAAAACAACAAAAAAAUGGGGUUCAGGGAGCUUCUAGGUUGGUGAACACAUUGAUUUUCUAGGAGGUUGGCACUCCUAAAGAGGGCAUGGAAGCUCUGUUCUCCCUCUUCCUAUACCUUGCCCUAUGCAUCUGUUCCAUUGGUCUGUUCCUGAGUUACAUAUAGUAAAUAAAGUGUUUUUUUUUUAAUUGUAGGAGUCAUUCUAGUGAAUUAAGUAACCUGAGGAGUUUAGGGGAACCCCCAAAUCUAUAGCUGGUUGUUUCAGAAAUAUGGGUUGCCCCUGGGACUUGUGAGUUACAUCUGAAGUGAGGGCAGCCUUGUGGGACCCCUUAACUUGUGGGAUCCCACUAAUUUUGGAUGGUGUCAGAAUUUAACUGAAUUGUUGGAUACCCACUUGGUGUUGAAGAAUUGGUGUGGAAACCUUCAGACAUUUGGUGUCAGAAGUGGUGUUAGAAAAAAAGACCUCAUAAUUGGUGUCAGGAAUGAGAUUUGCUAGAGCAUCUCAUGAAACUCAGGAAAGUGUUUUAUUUACUAUUACCAGUUUAUUAUAAAAGAUAAAACUGAGGAACAGUCAAGUGGAGGAGGUACUUAGAGCAAAGUUAGGGUGGAGGGUUGCAGAGCUUCCAUACCCUCUCCAGGUGUGCCACUCAUCUAGCACUUCCAUGUGUUCACUAACCUGGGAACUCCCUAAGCCCUGUUUCAGGGAUUUUUUUAUGGAGGCCUCUUUACAUAAUGAUUGAUUACAUCAUUAGCCGUUGGUGAUUGAGCUUAAUCUCCAGCUCCUCUCACUCCGCGAAGGUGUGGGUAGGGCACUGAAAGUUCUAACCCUCUCAUCAUGGCUUGAUGUUUCUGGUGACCAGCCCCUAUCCUGGAUCUAUCUAGGGGCCCUCUGAGAGUCACUUCAUUAGCAUAAACUCAGGUUUGGUUGAGAAGGGCAUGUUAGGAAUAACGAAAGACACUCUAUCACUCAGGAAAUUCUGAGAGUUUUAGGAGCUUUGGGCCAGGAACCCGGAAUAAAAACGACCAAGUAUUUUUUUUAUACACAGGUGGCUUUUUUUUGGGUUUUUGUUUUGUUGCAUUUUCAAUUCUCCCAGCACCAUUUGUCAAAAAGACCAACUUUUCCCCCAUUAAAUUAUUUUGGGACCUGUCUAAAAUAUCAGUUGACAGUAUAUGUGUGAGUUAUGUCAGGAUUCUCUGGGUUUUUUUUUUUUUUUUUUUUGAGAUGGAGUCUCACUCUGUCGCCCAGGCUGGAGUGCAGUGACACAAUCUUGGCUCACUGCAAGCUCUGCCUCCCGAAUAGCUGGGACUACAGGCGCUAGCCACCAUGCCCAGCUAAUUUUUUGUAUUUUUAGUAGAGACGGGGUUUCACCCUGUUAGCCAGGAUGGUCUCGAUCUCCUGACCUCGUGAUCCACCCGCCUCGGCCUCGCAAAGUGCUGGGAUUACAGACUUGAGCCACCGCACCCGGCCUUCUCUGGGUAUUUUUAAUGCCAAUAGCACACUGUCUCAGUUACCAUGUUCAGGUCUUAGACGUGUUUGGUUAAAUUUAUUUCUAAGUUUUUCAUAUUUUUUGAUGUUACUGUAAGUGGCAUUUCUUCUUAAUUUUACUCCCAAUUUUUUAUUGCUAGUAUAUUGCUAGUAUAUACAAUUGAUUUUUGUAUAUUGUCUUUGUAUCCUGCAACCUUGUUAAAUGCACUUUUUACUUCUAGGACUCUUUUGUAGAUGCUCUGGGGUUUUCUACAAAUGUAGUCAAGUCAUUUGUGAAUAAAGAUAGUUUUACUUCUUCCUUUCCUAUCUGUUCACCUUUUAUUUUUUUUCUUAUAUCCAUUACAUUUUCAUUAUAGAGUUGACUAAAAGCAGUGUGAGUGUUCAUCUUUGUCUUUUCUCAGUCUUACGGGGAAGGCAUCCAGUCUUUUACUACUAAGUAUGACGUUAGCUGUAGUUUUUUCACAGAUGCAGUUUAUCAGAGUGAAAAGUUUCUUUUUAUUUGUAGUUUGCUGAGGCUUUUUUUUUUUUUUUCAUGAACAUGUAUUGCAUUUUGUCAAAUCUCUUUUUGGCAUCUAUUAAGAUUCUCAGAGAGGCUGAGGCAGGAGAAUGGCGUGAACCUGGGAGGCGGAGCUUGCAGUGAGCCCAGAUCGCGCCACUGCACUCCAACCUGGGUGACAGAGCGAGACUCCGACUCAAAAAAAAAAAAAAAAGAUUCUCAUAUUAUUUUUCAGCCUGUCAAUAUGGUGAAUGAUUGAUUAUCAAUUAUUAACAAUUGUGUAUUCCUGGAACGGACCUCUCUUGAUCAUUAAUCCUUUUUAUAUACUGCUGGAUUUGAUUUGCUUAAGUUUUUUAGGAUUUUGUAACUGUUCAUAAGGGAAAUUGGUUUGCCUUCUUUUCUUGUAAGGUCUAUAGUUCUGGUAUCAGGAUAGUGCUGGUCUCAUAAAAUGAAUUGGGAAAUGUUCCUUCCUUCUAUUUCCUUGAACAAGUUUGCAUAGUUGUCAUUAUUUCUUACUUAAUUGUUUGGUAAAAUUCACCAACGAAGUCAUUUGGUCUAGGAAGUUUCUUUGUGGGAAGAUUUUUAACUAUGAAUUUGAUAUCUUUAAUAAAUACAGGGCUACUUGAGUUACUUCUGUUUGAAAAGUCAAAUUCUGUAACAUAUUUGAAGAGAUUUAUUCUGAGCCAAAUAUGAGUGACCAGCCCCAGGAGAUGAUGAGAAUGUGUGCCCAAGGUGUUCAGUCUACAGCUUGGUUUUAUACAUUUUAGGGAGACAUAAGACAUCAAUCAAUACAUGUAAGAUGUACGUUGGUUCAGUCUGGAAAGGUGGGACAACUGGAAGCAGUGAGGGAUAGGGGGCCUUCCAGGUUAUAGGUAGAUUCAGUGAUGUUCUGAUUGGCAAUUGGUUGAAAGAAUUUAUCUAAAGACCUGGAAUCGGUAGAAGGCAGUGUCUUAGUUGUGGAGACCAAGGUUCUUAUUAUGCAAAUGAAGCCUUCAGGUGGGAAGCUUCAGAGAAAAUAGAUUGUAAAUAUUUCUUGUCAGACUUAAAGGGCCUGUUCUGUCAGUCUGCAGGUCCUGUGUUGACGUUAAUGCUGGUCAUCUGUGCCUGAAUUCCAAAGGGAGGAGAGUAUAAUGAAGAAUGUCCUACUCCCACUCUCACUUUCCAUCAUGGCCUGAACUAGUUUCUCAUGUUAGCUUUGGGUUGCCCUUGGUGGAGGGGAGGGUCCAUCAGUCAGUUGGGGAACUCAGAAUUUUAUUUUUGGUUUACAUUUCUUUUUGAGUGAGUUUUGGUAAUUUGUGUCUUUUAAGUUGAGUGAGUUUUGGUAAUUUGUGUUUUAUCUAAGUUUUCAAAUUAAUUGCCAUAAAAUUUUUCAUAUUAUUCCUUAUCCUUUUACUACAUUGAAUCUGUAAUGAUAUCUGAUCGAUUAUUUAUUUAUUUAUUUAUUUAUUUUGAGACAGGGUCUUGCUCCGUCACCCAGGCUGGAGUGCCGUGGCGUAAUCUCAGCUCACUGCAACCUCCGCCUCCCGAGUAGCUGGGAUUACAGGCAUGCACCACCACACCUGGCUAAUUUUUGUAUUUUUAAUAGAGAUGGGGUUUCACCAUGUUGGCCAGGAUGGUCUUGAACUCCUGGCCUCAAGGCCGCCUGCCUCAGCCUCCCAAAGUGUUGGGAUUAUAGGUGUGAGCCACUGUGCCUGGCCGAUGUCUGAUUAUUUAUUUUCGAUGUUGAUACAUUGUGUCUUUUUUCUUAAAUGCUAGCAAAACAUUAGUCACUUUUGUUUAUCUUUUCAAGUAAGUGGCUUUUGGUUUCAUUUUUUUUAUUUUGCUUUUCUUUCUAUUUCAUUGAUUACUUCAUUAUUUUCUUCUCUCUGUUUGCCUUGGGUUUAAUUUACUCUUUUUUUCUAGCUUCCUAAGGUGGAAGUUUAGAUAAUUGAUUUGAGGCCCUUCAUUUCUUAUAGUUGACCCUUGAGCAACAUGAGAGGUUAGGAGAGAUGACACUACCAACCCGCACCCCUGCCCCCACCCCUCACAGGUGGAAAUCCUCCUAUAACUUGACUCCUCAAAAACUGAACUACUAAUAGUCUACUGUUGACUGGAGGCCUCACUGGUAACAUAAAGGGUUGAAUAAUAAACAUUUUGUGUUAUGUAUUAUAUGCUGUAUUCUUAUAGUAAAGUAAGCUAAAGAAAAGAAAAUGUUACUAAGAAAAUCAUAAGGAGGAGAAAAUACAUUUACUAUCAAUGGAAGUGGGUCAUCACACAGGUUAUCCUUGUCAUCUUCAUGUUCAGUAGGUUAAGGAGAAAGAGGAGGGGUUGUCUUGCUGUCUCAAAGGGGUGGCAGAGGUGGAAGAAAAUCUGUGUACAAGUAGACCUGAUGUUGUUCAAAGGUCAGCUGCACUUAAAUUUUAAUGUUUUCAUUUGAGCACAUCAGAGAUGCCGUUAAAAAUGACUCAGAGUACUCGUGCCCUUUCUGUGUAAGUAAUGAUUGAUUGGUUGUUGCUAAUUCAUUUCUGACUCUAAUUCCAUUUUUUAAAAAGCCUACCUGUAUAAUGUUUUAGGAUCUGUAGAGAUUUUCUUUUUAAGGAAUAGGAAAUGUAUAUUACUAAUAACCUGCUGACUAAUCUGCUUCCACUCUUGCCCUUUCCCCACACGAAGCCCAAAUGAUCUUAAAAAAGUUAAUGGAUCACAUCACUCUGCUAUUUCAGACACUCUUCAGAAAUAAACUUUGUGAGGCAGAAAUGACCCCCAAAGCUGUCCACGUCCUAAUGCUGGAACCUUACAUGGAAAUGGGAACUUUGCAGAUGUGAGGAAGGUGAAGAUCUUAAGAUGGGGAGAUUUUCCUGAUGUAUCCACUGGGCCCAAUGUAAAGACAAGGGUUCAUACAAGAGGGAGGCAGGAGGAUUCUGAGCAGGAGAAAUGACAACAGGAAGCAGAAGUUGGAGAGAAUCAAGGAAGGGGCCAUGAGCCAAGGACUGUGGACAGCCCCUAGAAGCUGGGAAAGGCAAGGGAGCUCAUCUUUCCUAGUGCCUCCAGAAGGAAUGCAGCCUUGCCAACCCAUUUUAGACUUCUGACCUAGAAUUGUCAGAUGGACUUCAAGUUCUGUCUCCCACCUGCUACCACAAGGGAUGUCUUGGAGGAACACAGCUGCCUCUGUUGGGGUGAGCAGAGAAUGGGCCCCCCAGUGGGUGUGCAGCUGGUCAGAGAGCCUAGGCUGUUCUCUCUCAGUCCCCUUUCUCCAAGGCUGCCCAGUUAUGUGGUGAGGUGAGUAUUGUCGGCAGUGGGAGGCUGGAAGGGGUCCUUCCUGCAGGAGACCCCUCUUGCAUGAGGCCAUGGGAGUGGAAUUCAGCUCUAGAACUUUGGUUAGCUUGAGUAGAGCUCCAGCAGCUAGAAAGGGAGACUUGAAAAAAUUAGAAAAAAUUAGAUUUUUGUCAGUCUGCUUCUGGAAAUUGAUAGUAGUAGUUUGCCUUCUGAGGGCUUUCUCUGGGAACUGGCAUUAGUCUAGACGGAGGUUAGUACAUUUUGUGUGUAAAAGGCCAGAUAUUUUAGGCUUUGUGUGCCUCUUAACAAUUUUUGUCACAUAUUCUUUGUUUUAUCUUUACAAUCCUUAGAAAAGAUAUAAAAGCUGGGUGCAGACUGGCCUGCAGGCUGUUUUUUGCUGUCUUCUGGUUCACACUCCAGUUUUCUCUGUUUGUUCCAGCUGGAGGAGCUGGGGUCAGUCACACUGGGCUUUGCAGGAAGAAGCUGGAGAGGCCUGGCCAUGGAGGCUGUUUUUCUUGACAUAAAAAUAAAAAUGUUCAUUUUUUCUUGUGUGCUUGGUGAGUGAUCUGGAAACAGUUGUACAAUUCAUAGUUUGAGAAGUAUUUUGUUCAGUGAUAGUGUCAUUUGGGUGAAUGUUAGAUUUGAAGGCCACUACCAAUUAGGAUGAUCUUGAGGUUUAUGGUUCUUAAAAACUCCCUGAGUUGAAGUUUCAUUUGAAUAAUGUAUUGCUUUUUGAGGUAAAAUAAGGUUGAAAGAGAUGGAGGUAGUCAAUAUUUUUACAUUCUCUAAAAAAGGCAACAGGAUUAAUACCAGUAUUAUUUACUCAUUAAAUUUUAUAUUAAUGGAUACUAUGUUUGUUACCUUUUUGUGACUGUAAACAUUUGGUAAUUUUUUUACUCUUGAAUUAUGUGAAAUACCUGUCAAUUGGUUUUGUUUUGUGACAGAUAGGACACAUGCCUAUUAGGUGUCUUUCUUAUUCAGUGUGGUUUUGCUGCAGAAGGUAGUUACUGUCCUGGAGGAUCAGUCCAGCAAGACAUAGGUGUUCACAAGUUCUCUCUAUUCCUGCUGGUCAUAGCAUGAAUGCCUUUCAGCUCAGUGUAAUCUCUAGGAUUUGUUCAUUUCAUAGCUCCCCGGUUGUAUUUUCUUUCUCUAGUAAUUUUCUGUGAAUCAGGAGUUUACUGUUCAGCCUAAGCAUUAGGGAACCCUAGUGCAGAUUACUGGAGCUCUUCCUCUGAGAGGUUACCACACCUUUCCAUUUAUCUGCCCUGCAAAUUCCAGCCACCUCAGCCUCCCUGCACUCUGAUCUCAGAUCAGCAAGACCACAGUGCUUUGUUGGGGUACCCCUGCCUUGCACCAGUCUGUCAGGUGUCUUCAGGAAGAAAACAGGGACAGUCACAGGUUCCCAGACGGUAGUCUUUUACUGCCUGUUGAUCAAUAGCUGAGCCAUUUCAUAUAUUUUGAGGGAGGGGAUCCAGUACCAGUUACUCCAUUGCAGCCACAGGUGCAAGUUCUUAGUUCCCAUUCGUGGGGAAUGGUAUUGAGGAACCAAGAUCUGGGUACAACAUGUGCACACUGUUAUAUGGGUGUCUUUGCUUCUCAAGACAGACCUAAGAAAUAAGUAGAUAAAUUACAUUACAUAUUCACACACACAUUUUUACAACCAUUUCUGUACUUACAUGUUGAAAACCAUGAGUUUAUAUUGUUAACUCCAUUUCCAGUUUAUCAGCACAGGGUUCAUUCUUACCUUCUCCCUUUCCAUAUUUGUAGUACCUGCAGUAUAUUGACUCAUUUGCUCAAUCCUGUAACAUACUGAAAGUAGUUUCAGAGUUGCUGAUCCAUACCACUGUGGUAAACAUACCUUUUAUCCAGAGCUUAUUACCUAUUGACAGUACAGUCCCUGACUUACAAUGGUUUGACUUACCGAUUUUUCGAUUUACGAUGAUGCAGAAGUGAUACACAUUCAGUAGAAAUUGUAACCCCAUUUUAAGUUGAGGAGCAUCUGUAAAAUGCAUUUUCCAGUUGUGAUAUUUUCAACAUCCCAUGAGUUUAUUGGGAUAUAACCCCAUUGCAAGUCAAGGAGUAGCUGUACUUUAUAUCUUUGGACUGAAGGUAUGUAAUACUGUAAUAUACAAUACUAAACAUAUUGUGUGAAGAGUUACUUAGGUUAUUUCUUUAUUGUGGUUGUGUUUUAUUCAUUAGAGGUAACGUUAGGUUUCCUCACUCCUAUUUAUUUUGAUAUAUAAAAUAUUAAUAUGGUUUCAGAAGUCUAAACUAUACCAAGAGAUACAAUCAUAGAAGUAUCAGUACCCACUUCCUCCCUCUAAUCUCUUCCCUCCAGUUCCCACCCUUGAGGGUGUUAGUGAGUCUCGUUAGUUUCUAGAUUAUCCUUCAUGUUUCUUUCUGCAAAAUUAAGGCUAUACCUAUUUGUUCAACUAUUUCCAAUCUUUCUUAAUGCUAGUAGCAUUUUCUUGCACUUUACUUUUUGCAGUUAACAAUAUCUCUUCCCAGCACUUUGGGAGGCCCGGGUGGGUGGAUCACCUGAGGUCAGGAGUUGGAGACCAGCCUGGCCAACAUGAUGAAACCUCAUCUCUACUAAAAAUACAAAAAUUAGCCGGGCGUGGUGGUGGGCACCUGUAAUCUCAGCUACUUGGGAGGCUGAGGCAGGAGAAUUGCUGGAACCUGGGAGGCGGAGGUUGCAGUGAGCCAAGAUUGCGCCGUUGCACUCCACCCUAGGCCAACAACAGUGAGACUCUGUCCCCCCCGCCAAAAAAAAAGUACCUCCUAGAAAUCAGUCUCUGUUAGUUCAUUGAAAUGUAGUGAUGGCUGGAAGUGUAUGAGGGAUCUAUGAGACUUUUUCACAAUGGAGGUGUUACUAUAGUUUGCAUGCUGAUGAAACUAAUCUGAUUCUAUUGAAGAGGGAGAGGUGUCAUCAUGUUUCAGAAAGAAGCCUCGAAGUAGGCCUUCAAGAGAGGCUGAGAUGCUGGACAGAAAUGGAGGGUUUUGGUUUUGGUUAGUGAAAGGACACUUCACUUUGAGGAAAAGUGACGUCUGAUUUAUUAGAGCCUUGAAUUCUUAUAGAAAUCCUGUAGCAGAAUAGUCCUUUUCAUCAAAUGGGCAGGUAAAAUUUUACUGGUUGAGUUUCCAAGAUAGAAAUUUUCUAUUUAAUUGGAGUGAAAGAUGGGUGCAGGUUCUGGAUGAGGAGAUAAGUGAAAGCACUUACAAGUUGGUAUUCUUAUUGAGGAUCUAGUGCUCUAGAAGCUGUGACAGUAGUCGUACCAAGAAGGUCAUGCUCCUUAAUCUCACUUGAUCCUCUCCAAACCUUAACUAGAAACUUUCUGUAAUCAUUAGAGCUAACUUGAUAUCUCCACCAAUCAAUUCCUUCCCUUAAGAACAGAUGUGGACUGAAGCAGAACCAAUUUGUAAUCAUUUCUAAUACAUCAUCUAGUUAGAUAAUGAGCUCUCAGCUCCAUCUAACAAAGCAUUUUCGCAAAUUGAGUUAAACUAUGAGCCUGUUAGGGUUGUCUGAAUCCAGUCAUUUUGAAUUUUUCUGAAAUUCCUAUAGUUUACUCUGUUUGCCAGCUUUAUAUAUGGGUUGGUGGCCUAAAACUUCAGUUCUGGGCCCCAUAUCCAUGCAUGACUCUGUUGAAAGAAAGAGAAUACUCUGCUGCAAUCCAAGCUGGAGCCCUUCAAUUGACCUUAAUUUGAUUGCUUAGGGGAAUGGACCAUGCUGGUUAGCUCAAGCUAACCAUAGUCCACUCCUGGAUAUGGGGGUAGAUUCGUCUUCUUCCGAAGUAUAUGGACUGUGGGGAGUUGGGAGGGCAGACACCAGAACAAAAAUAAGGCUGCCAUCAGGAAAUGGGAGGAGGGAAGUUGGAGAGGAUGUUAAGGUAGAUGGUUAGUAUUCAUACGUCUUAAGCAUUUCUACUGUAAACUCUGUUCAUCAGUUCUCAACUACAAAGAAAACACAUGAAUUUCAUUAAUUAAUUCAUGUAUGUAAUAUUUUUUAGAGGGAGCCUGCCAUGUGUUGGGUACUGUUCUAGGAUCUGAGGAUAUAGCAGUAAAUAACAGAGAAAUAAUCUCUGCUCUGUGGGCAAUGGGGAGGGACCAUCCCAUUUUGCCAAGAGGAUGUGCGAUAGUAUUGUUGGAUCUCAUGUGAUGUUUAUAUGUGAACAUUUACUUGAUACAGCUUGUAAAUGAUGUGUUGAAGGCCCUUGUGUAUACAAAGUUGAGAAGAAGGAAACAGAUGGUAUAGAAAUGAAAGCAAGUCAUUGGCUUGAUCAUUCUGACUGAUGUUUAUAAAUCUAAAAAUGAAAGUAUAUUGCAAUUAGGGAGCAAAGAAUAUGGCUGUCCUCUUUAAAUUAAGAGCCAUCAGUGUUUUCAAAAACAUUGCAUUUCUACAAUGCAAGUCUAAGAAGAACCAGAAGUAGUGAUAGUAAUGAUGAUCUGCUAGAGAUGUAUUUGAAACCUAGAUUCAGCUUUUAUAAACCUGUGCAAUCCAGUUUCAUUUCUUUUUUCUUUUUUUUUUUUUUUUUCUGGAGACCGAGCCUGUACGAUCGAGGUUCAUUUCUUUUUUUUUUGGAGACCGAGUCUUGCUGUGUCACCCAGGCUGGAGUGCAGUACAGUGGUGGAGUCACGGCUCACUACAACCUCUGCAUCCCAGGUUCAAGUGAUUCUCUUGCCUCAGCCUCCUGAGUAGCUAGGAUUACAGGCGUGCACCACCAUGCCCAGCUUAUUUUUGUAUUUUUAGUAGAGACAGGGUUUUGCCGUGUUAGCCAGGCUGGUCUCAAACUUGUGGCCUCAAGUGAUCCACCCGCCUUGGCCUCCCAAAGUGUUGGGAUUACAGGCGUAAGCCGCCGUGCCUGGCCAAUCCAGGUUUAUUUCUGUCUGUUAACAAUUUCGUUCAAAUGAUGUGGCCUUUUUCAGGUGUGUUUGUGUAUGUAUGUGAGUAUAUAUUUGUAUAUUUAUAAUACGUAUGUGUUUGUAGGUGUGUGUGUGUAUAUACAUAUACAUGUAUAUACUAGGAAAACAAAAUAGCGAUAUGGAUUUGUUACGUUUAAAUUUUUACUAAAAUUUCUAAUAAAGUUGUUUUUUCACUAUUAUUUUUCUUUGAAUUAUUUGUAAAUUGACCUAAAUAUGAAAUAAAGAUCUAAGGAGUCCAUUGGCCCCAGCCGAUAGAGUGUUGGUUACUUUUCCUGUUGACUGAGGGUUAAUGUAAUAUACCUGUGUGGACAUUCAUCCACAGUGGUUGAUGACUAGGCAUUCGUUUCAAGCACACAUGGACUAUUUAUGAAAAUUAGCUGUCUGCUAGGCCAUAAAACCUCCACAGAUUUCAGAGGACACCUAUCAUCAGACCACAUUCUGUCACCACAGGCAGUCAAGUUAGAAGUCAUUAACAAAAAAUGUAAUUAGAAAAAGUCCCCUACAUUGGGAAAUUUAAGAUAACUUCUAAAUAACUUACAGCUCAACAAAUGAAUCUUAAUGGAAAUUAGAAAGCAUUCAGAACUAAAUGCUAACAAAAAAUACUUUAAAAAUUGUGUAAUAUAGCUAAGGUUGGACUUCAGGAAAGAAAAAAGGCUGAAAAUGAAUAAACUAAGCAUGUUCCUUAAGUGAAAAAAUAACUGCAGGAUAACCCAAAUAGGGUAGAAGAAAGGAAAUGAAGUGAGCAUAAACUAAUGACAUGGAAAACACAUUAAGUAUUAAGGGUAAUAAAGCCCAGAGCUGGUUCUUUGAAAAGCCAAAUAGUCAAACUUUUGGCAAGAUUACUCAUGAGUGAGGGAAAAAAUACACAAUAUUCAGAUUGGAAAAGGGAGCCAUAGAUAUAAAUUCCACAGAGAUUAAACUGGUAAGAUAAUGUUAAGAAUGACUGUGCCAGGCCGGGCGCGGUGGCUCACGCUUGU